UACGGGGGGGCAAGCGUUGUUCGGAAUUACUGGGCGUAAAGCGCGUGUAGGCGGCCGGUAAGUCCGCUGUGAAAGUCCUGGGCUUAACCUGGGGACUGCAUUGAUACUGAUUGCUUGAAUGCAGGAGAGGAUAGCGGAAUUCCAGGUGUAGCGGUGAAAUGCGUAGAUAUCUGGAGGAACACCGGUGGCGAAGGCGGCAUCCUGGACCGACACUGACGCUGAGGAGCGAAAGCCAGGGAGCAACGGGAUUAAGAAACCCGUGGUACGUCCG
rnacentral:rRNA from 1 species